rnacentral:piRNA from 1 species
UAACUCUGUUCAGGUAUAAUUCUACCCCUG